AGAGUUUGAUCCUGGCUCAGAAUCAACGCUGGCGGCGUGCCUAACACAUGCAAGUCGAACGCGAAAGUCCCGCAAGGGAUAAGUAGAGUGGCAAACGGGUGAGUAACGCGUGGGCGACCUACCUUCGAGUGGGGGAUAACCUUCCGAAAGGAGGGCUAAUACCGCAUGACAUCCCGUGUUUGGAUACACGGACAUCAAAGCCGGGGAUCGUAAGACCUGGCGCUUGAAGAGGGGCCCGCGUCCGAUUAGCUAGUUGGUGAGGUAACGGCUCACCAAGGCUCCGAUCGGUAUCCGGCCUGAGAGGGCGGACGGACACACUGGAACUGAGACACGGUCCAGACUCCUACGGGAGGCAGCAGUGGGGAAUUGUUCGCAAUGGGCGCAAGCCUGACGACGCAACGCCGCGUGGAGGAUGAAGACCUUCGGGUCGUAAACUCCUUUCGACCGAGAUGAAUUCCUGCCGGCCUAACACGCCGGCGGGGUGACAGUAUCGAGGGAAGAAGCCCCGGCUAACUCCGUGCCAGCAGCCGCGGUAAU
rnacentral:rRNA from 1 species